rnacentral:rRNA from 1 species
CAAAAUUCUAAUUGAACUAACCAUGCGAGUCAUUGAAUAAUACAAGGCAGACGGCUCAGUAACGCGUAGUCCCUUUAACCUAUGGACGGGAAUAACCUCGGGAAACUGAGAAUCCUGCCCGAUAGAACACUAUGCCUGGAAUGGUUUGUGUUCCAAAUGAUUUAUCGCCGUAGGAUGGGACUGCGGCCUAUCAGUUUGUUGGUGAGGUAAUGGCCCACCAAGACUAUUACAGGUACGGGCUCUGAGAGGAGUGGCCCGGAGAUGGGUACUGAGACACGGACCCAGGCCCUAUGGGGCGCAGCAGGCGAGAAAACUUUGCAAUGUGCGAAAGCACGACAAGGUUAAUCCGAGUGGUUUCUGCUAAAGGAACCUUUUGUCGGUCCUAGAAACACCGAUGAAUAAGGGGUGGGCAAGUUCUGGUGUCAGCCGCCGCGGUAAAACCAGCACCUCAGGUGGUCAGGAUGAUUAUUGGGCCUAAAGCAUCCGUAGCCUGCUUUGUUAAUUUUCGGUUAAAUCUGUACGCUCAACGUACAGGCUGCCAGGAAUACUGCUAAGCUAGGGAGGUGGGAGAGGUAGAACGUUACUCGGUAGGAAGGGGUAAAAUCCUUUGAUUCUUUGAUGACCUCCUGUGGGCGAAAGGCGGUCUACCAAAACACAUCCGAUGGUGGAAGGAUGAAAGCUUGGGGGGAGCAAAACAAAAUUAUAUACCCAGGUUAACCCAGCUGUAAACUAUGUCAACUCAGGGAUGCAUUGGCCUUGGGAGCAAUGCGUUGGUGGAGGGAAGCCGUUUAAUUUUCUGCCUGGGAAGUCCUCACCCAAGUACUAAAAAUCAAAGGAAUUGAGCGAAUCA